UACAACCGAGCACUUUUCCCCCUUCUCCUAUUCAAAUCACCAUGGUAACCGGGUAGGGGUGUUUAGUAUGUCUUCCCAUCAAUGGGGCGAGCUGCCCUCCCUACGCGAGGGCAUUCAGUUUUAACCCGCGAGAAACGCAGCAGUAUCAGAAUAGGAACCCACAGGCGACACGAGAAUUCAAUGCAUGGAAGAAGACAAAAAUAUAAGUAUUUCAAGUCAUCAAAGUUGGUUUUCAAUCGAGAGCUAUUAAAUGGACCUGGAUUGCACAAAUCCCCAUAACCCAGGAUGGGGUCCUUAUAGACUAGACCUAGGCCUACAUGUGGCGGCGGAAUGUUCGGUAUUCCGUUGAAUCAAAUUACAUGGCAGGGCUGCAGAGAAGAGGUGCACUAUAAACUCCAGUCCACGAGGGCAGCAGGAUUGUCCCAGAUCCCAUGCUCCAUCCAACCUUUUCUUUCACUCUCUCUCACUUUCCAGGUCCUGUCUUCCCUGGUUUGGUCUUUCACUGUCUGCACUCCCUCCCUCUCCCUCUCUGUUUCUGUCUCCAAUAUGCACAGUGGCUAGGUUACUCUAGCUGCAGGCUAUUUUCUUUGGUAGACUUUAGAAAUAUGCAAAUGCAGCCGUUGACAACUGCAGAGAGAAGAAAAGCGAAACAACUCUGCAUCUGUGUUCCUUGAGCUGUCAGCUCUCAGAGACAUAUCAUUUACUCGUCCCUUUCUAUCCCUCUAUCAAAGUAGUGGUGUAAGACUUACCGAUAGAAGAAGAAAGAAGAAGAAGAGAGAGAGAGAGAGAGAGAGAGAGAGAGAGAGAGAGAGAGAGGGAAGUGUGAGAGGGAGAGAAAAGAUCAGGCUCAAAGUAUAGAAGGAAAUUAUAUGUCAAACGUCCUCUAUUGCUCAGUUGGUUAUUUCUACUCUCCCUCCUUCCUUCUCCCCUCCUUUCCU
ensembl:lncRNA